GACGAACGCUGGCGGCGUGCUUAACACAUGCAAGUCGAACGGAAAGGCCCUGCUUUUGUGGGGUGCUCGAGUGGCGAACGGGUGAGUAACACGUGAGUAACCUGCCCUUGACUUUGGGAUAACUUCAGGAAACUGGGGCUAAUACCGGAUAGGAGCUCCUGCUGCAUGGUGGGGGUUGGAAAGUUUCGGCGGUUGGGGAUGGACUCGCGGCUUAUCAGCUUGUUGGUGGGGUAGUGGCUUACCAAGGCUUUGACGGAUAGCCGGCCUGAGAGGGUGACCGGGCACAAGACGACUAAGGUACGGCGCAGUCUCCUACGGGAGGCAACGGGCGAGAGUAUUACACAGUGGGCGGGAGCCUGAUACAGCGGCGCCGCGUGCGGAAUGACGGCCUUCGGGUUAUGAACCGCUGUCGCCUGUGACGAAGCGUGAGUGACGGUAAUGAGUAAAGAAGCACCGGCUAACUACGUG
rnacentral:rRNA from 1 species